rnacentral:rRNA from 1 species
GAUGAACGCUGGCGGCGUGCCUAAUACAUGCAAGUCGAGCGAACGGACGAGAAGCUUGCUUUUCUGAUGUUAGCGGCGGACGGGUGAGUAACACGUGGAUAACCGACCUAUAAGACUGGGAUAACUUCGGGAAACCGGAGCUAAUACCGGAUAAUAUUUUGAACCGCAUGGUUCAAAAGUGAAAGACGGUCUUGCUGUCACUUAUAGAUGGAUCCGCGCUGCAUUAGCUAGUUGGUAAGGUAACGGCCUACCAAGGCAACGAUGCAUAGCCGACCUGAGAGGGUGAUCAGCCACACUGGAACUGAGACACGGUCCAGACUCCUACGGGAGGCAGCAGUAGGGAAUCUUCCGCAAUGGGCGAAAGCCUGACGGAGCAACGCCGCGUGAGUGAUGAAGGUCUUCGGAUCGUAAAACUCUGUUAUUAGGGAAGAACAUAAGUGUAAGUAACUGUGCACAUCUUGACGGUACCUAAUCAGAAAGCCACGGCUAACUACGUG